rnacentral:lncRNA from 1 species
GCCUGCUGACGUCAGCGCCUGCCUACGCCGCCGUUCCCAUGGCGACCGAUGCGUCCCGCGCUCUAGGCGAAGACCGCGGCCCCGUCCCCGCGCCUCCACCGCCUUCUUCCAGGAGGAGGGGCCGUGCGGCGCCUGCCCGGGGGCCCUCAGGCCGCAGGCGGGCGCGAGCUUCAGGGAACUUAGGGGGCUCCCGCCUCCCCGGCCACGCGAGCGGGAACAGUCUCCUCCACUCGGAGCGAUUAUAGAUCCAGACUCCUGUGCCUGACCACUGCCCAUGGCCAACUCUCUGCUGAUGACUGGACUUGACUACACAAGUUGUUGGGUACUUUGACUAGAACACCAACCAAGUCAUUGGAAAUAUAAUGCUUUGUUCUUUCUAGCUCCAAGAUAUGAACAUGUGACAACCCAAACAAACAAAAUCCCAACAAGGUUGUCAGAUAUGCAAAUUACAGUUGACCCUUGAACAACAGAGAGGGUAGAGGUGCUGAUCACUGGCACAGUUGAAAAUUCAAAAGUUUUGACUCCCCUAAAACUUAAUUACUAAUAACCUACUGUUGACUAGAAGCCUACUGAUAAUAUAAACGAUUUAUUAACACAUAUUUUAUAUGUUAUAUGUAUUAGGUACUGUAUUAUAAUAAAGUAAGCUAGAGCAAAGAAAAUGUUAUGGAUAAAAUCAUAAGAAAGAGAAAAGAUAUUUACUCUCCAUUGAAUAGAAAUGGCUCAUCAUAAAGAUCUUCAUUCUCACCAUCUUCAAAUUGGGUAGGCUGAAGAGGAGCAAUAAGAGAAGGGGUUGGUCUUGCCAUCUCAGGUGUGGCAGAGACGGAAAACAAUCCACGUAUAAAUAUGGACCCAUGUAGUUCAAACCUGUGUUGUUCAAAGGUCAACUGUAUUUACUUUAAAUUACUUGUCUGACCUGAGAUUUUCCUGACCAUAAUCCAAGAGAUUGACACCUUUCUAAAGUUUGUUCUUAUGUUUUCCAAAAUGACAACUUGUUUUCCAGAAGUUAGCAGCCACCAUGUUUUAAGACAGAAACAGCCUGAGGUUCUCCCAAGGUCUAUUGAGCAUAAGAGUUUUUUGCCUUCUAGUAAAAUAAACCCAUAUUCGCAG